GAAAAUGGGCAGUGUUUUAAAGAAGUCAGAGGAUCCAGGGCGUGCACAGAACCGUACGCAGCACAUGCGGGUGGUCCUGUCCUCUCGCCCCGGACCUGCUUCUGGACUUACCAAGUGGAUGUGAAAUGAAAGCAUGUGGAACAACGGCAGACUUACCAGCCAUAAGCAAACAAAUAAUGCACAUGGAAAAGGCAACCACCAUGAUAAUAGGCAACUGGAAAAGAGAACAGACACACCAGCUGUACUGUUUUAGUAAAAGAAAAAAGAAUCUGUACCUGAAGCUGGGCCUGGAGCGAACGACGGGCCAGCAGGCUCUGGAUCACGUUGGUUCUGUCCAGACAAUCCAUGCAGUUGCUGCGGAACACGCCUUC